CGGCUUGAGAGAGUGGACGGCCACAUUGGGACUGAGACACGGCCCAGACUCCUGCGGGAGGCAGCAGUGGGGAAUAUUGCACAAUGGGGGGAACCCUGAUGCAGCAAUGCCGCGUGGGUGAAGAAGCACUCCGGUGCGUAAAGCCCUGUCAGCAGGGAAGAAAAUGACAGUACCUGGACAAGAAGCCCCGGCUAACUACGUGCCAGCAGCCGCGGUAAUACGUAGGGGGCAAGCGUUAUCCGGAUUUACUGGGUGUAAAGGGAGCGCAGGCGGCGUGGCAAGUCAGAUGUGAAAACCCGGGGCCCAACCCCGGGAGUGCAUUUGAAACUGCCAUGCUGGAGUGCCGGAGAGGUAAGCGGAAUUCCUAGUGUAGCGGUGAAAUGCGUAGAUAUUAGGAGGAACACCAGUGGCGGAGGCGGCUUACUGGACGGUAACUGACGCUGAGGCUCGAAAGCGUGGGGAGCAAACAGGAUUAGAUACCCUGGUAGUCCACGCCGU
rnacentral:rRNA from 1 species